rnacentral:rRNA from 2 species
UGUCAUGCCAAUGGCACUGCCCGGUAGCUAAAUGCGGAAGAGAUAAGUGCUGAAAGCAUCUAAGCACGAAACUUGCCCCGAGAUGAGUUCUCCCUGACUCCCUGAGAGUCCUGAAGGAACGUUGAAGACGACGACGUUGAUAGGCCGGGUGUGUAAGCGCAGCGAUGCGUUGAGCUAACCGGUACUAAUGAACCGUGAGGCUUAACCUUACAACGCCGAAG